CUACGGAGGGGGCUAGCGUUGUUCGGAAUUACUGGGCGUAAAGCGCACGUAGGCGGAUUAAAAAGUUAGAGGUGAAAUCCCAGGGCUUAACCCUGGAACUGCCUUUAAAACUAGUAGUCUAGAGUUCGAGAGAGGUGAGUGGAGUUCCAGGUGUAGAGGUGAAAUUCGUAGAUAUUUGGAGGAACACCAGUGGCGAAGGCGGCUCACUGGCUCGAUACUGACGCUGAGGUGCGAAAGCGUGGGGAGCAAACAGGAGUAGAAACCCCAGUAGUCC
rnacentral:rRNA from 1 species